UACGUAGGGUGCAGGCGUUAAUCGGAAUUACUGGGCGUAAAGCGUGCGCAGGCGGCUAUGCAAGACAGAUGUGAAAUCCCCGGGCUCAACCUGGGAACUGCAUUUGUGACUGCACAGCUGGAGUGCGGCAGAGGGGGAUGGAAUUCCGCGUGUAGCAGUGAAAUGCGUAGAUAUGCGGAGGAACACCGAUGGCGAAGGCAAUCCCCUGGGCCUGCACUGACGCUCAUGCACGAAAGCGUGGGGAGCAAACAGG
rnacentral:rRNA from 1 species